UCAGGGUUGAUUUAAAGUGUAAUUUGUUUUAAUUAAUCCCGAAUUGUGAAGAGCUAAAAUUAUAUAUAUAUUAAUGUUGAAUAAUUAUUUGUAAUAUAUUUUUUGUAAUUAUAUGUUAUUCGUUUUUCAAUAUAUCUGGUUUUUGAGGAAAUUAAUUUAAUUAAGCUGAAUUUUGAAUUUUUCUAUAUAUUUAGAUUUUAUUAAGAUUUAUGUAAUGUUUAAGGGGAUAAGCUUUUAAACAAAUUUAUAUAAUUAAAUAUUGUAUUGUUUGAUGUAGGAAUAGAAGUUUUCAUCUUUUGAAGUGUAUUAUUACUUGAUUUUAUAAUAUUUGAUUUUUGUUUUUUUUAUAUUUUUUACUUAAAUUAUAAUUUGAAUUGUUUUUGUUUUGUAAUAAUGAUUGAAUUAGUAUAUUAAAUUGUUUUUAUAUUAUUGUUUGGUAGGUUAUCUAAAGGAAUUCGGCAAUUAAAUUUUCUGCCUGUUUAUUAAAAACAUGGCCUUUUGAUAAUAAUUUAAGGUCUGACCUGCUCUAUGAUUAAUUAAAUGGCUGCGGUAUUUUGACCGUGCAAAGGUAGCAUAAUCAUUAGUUUUUUAAUUGGAAGCUGGUAUGAAUGGUUGGACAAGAGAAUUACUGUCUCUGGAUAAUUUGGUUUGAAUUUUAUUUUUUAGUGAGAAAGCUUAAAUUUUUGUGAGGGACGAGAAGACCCUAUAGAAUUUUAUAGAUUAAUUUUGGUGAGGUUUUUAGGUUAAUUGGUUUAGUUUAAAUUAGUUUGUUUUGUUGGGGUGAUAGAAAAAUUUAUUUAACUUUUUUUUACUUUAUACAUUGAUAUAUGAGUAUAUGAUCCAUUAAUUAUGAUUAUAAGAUAAAAUUACCUUAGGGAUAACAGCGUUAUUAGUUUGGAGAGUUCUUAUCGAUAGACUAGAUUGCGACCUCGAUGUUGGAUUAAAAUUAAUUUUUGGUGUAGGGGCUAAAUAAUUAAGUCUGUUCGACUUAAUAAUAUUUUACAUGAUCU
rnacentral:rRNA from 1 species